UGGUACUCCAAGAGGCGGGGGUAUCCUCUUGAGACGCCAGCCAAGCCACACCCUUGAGGAACAAACUGAUUCCACAUUUCUUUCUUUUUUUUGGAGGUUCUUGGGUCAAGGUCAGAGCCCCUACAGCAGGCAAUAGUGUGUGAGGGAGCAACUGUGGCAUAAUUGAUGUCUUAUUGUUAGAUACGUCUGGGUUUGAAUCUCAGCUCUGCCACUUAAUAGUUAUGCUGCCCGGAGCAAGUGAUUUAACCUCACGAGCCUCAGUUUUCUCAUCUGUAAGAUGGGGAUGCCUGCCACUAAUAGAAUUGUCGGGAAGAUUUACUAACAUAUGUAAAUGCAUAUACGCACCUUUUAGGUGUCCUAUGAAUGGCACCAACUCUUAUUUGUCCCUAGACUCUGGGAUUACCUGAGCCCUUUGUUUAUAGCGACAGCAGCAACUGGAAACUCUGAGAGUUUCCCCAGACCACUUGAAGGUGUUUCUGGCUCUGGUGAGGUUUCCUAUCUUAGCCAAGGGUGAGCAGCAUGCUGGGGAAUGUCAUCCACCAGAGGUACAGAGCUCAGGCCUUGAGACCCCAUCCCAGCACCUCCCUGCCUGGUGGUGAUAGUGGGCAAGUAAACAGCUUCUCUGUGCCUCAGUUUUCUCUUCUGUAAAAUGGGGAAUGAUAGUUUUUAUAGCAUAGGUUUGCACUAAUCAAAUAAAGCGUAGAAAAAUCACACUCUCAAGCGUAAAGAGCCUAGUAAAAAUUUUAAAAUGAAGUGUCUGUAGCAGGUAUAUGGUACAUAAUUGGUUGGUAGGUUUGGGAUGAGCGAAGGCUUCUCAGAUUGGGCGCCCAGGUCUUUUAGAAAUCUCCUUUUGUUUAUGGUCCUGGGGAAGAGUUCCAGGCCCUGGAAGAGCAGGCUGGCUGAAGGCUGCCAAGACUUUGACCAGCCCCUGAGAAGUAUAUCCUUGACCCAGGCACCAGCUGCCUUUGUCUACAAUGGGCCUGUCCGGGUGGGGUAAACUCAUCUGAAGUCACAGGCCUGUGUUUGCUGUCCUAUAAGGCAGGCCAGCUAAGCUCUGUGUGUGUGUGUGUGUGUGUGUGUGUAUGUGUGUGUGGGCGCGCCUGGGCACACGUGCCCGCCAGGGGUUGGGGGAACAUACAUGGAAGGAAGAUGGGUCCCAAAGACCACAGGCUGGGAACCCGGGGUUCAAGAGGUGUGCGUCUCAUGGCCCAUUUGGUGGUGGCGAGACGUACCAAGUUCAUCAUGGCUUUGGGAAGUGGUCCAAACUCAAUCCCCUCAGCCUCAAGUUCUCUCCUCUGAUCGGUAGCACUUUCCAGGUGCCCAUACGCCCUGCCUCUGUGUUUUCUUUCCCAUCACCUCUUCACCUCUCCAACCACUUCCUUUUUUCACUUGCUUCUCUGUCACUCAUGCAGCAGCAGCUUGUGGUGAGAGUGAGGGUGCAGUGCUGGGAGGAGUGUGAUAGACCUGGUUUGAAUCCUGGGUUUUGCCAUUCAUGAGACACGUGAGCUAGGGCCAGAGACUUACUGUCUCUGCACCGCAGGUGCUUCACAGGUGCUGUGGGGAUCGUGGGAGCCGCCUUGCAGGGCACUGGGGACCUUUCUAAAGUGAUGUUUGUUCUGUGCCUGAGUUUCCGUAAACAGAGCAGUUACUUGAACCAGUGGGUGUGUGUGGAGUACUGUGGCUCCACAGACUUCACUGCCUCACCUCUGCCUCACCCUGGGGACCACAGGUGCCCUGAGAAAACGUCUGGGGGGCAGGGGUGGGGGAGGAGAGCACUCUUGGCCAGGCAGCUGGGUGGUCAGUGUGGGUGGGAGCUCCAGGGAGGAGUUGUCCAUGAUCGCCUUCCUAAGAGACCAUUUUUAACCUUGUUCCUUCCUGGUAAAAACACCUUCCUUCAAGGCUUCCCUUUUAUACAUGAGACCCAAAGGAUAAGGCUCUAAAGCUCAGACCCAAAGCAUAGCUCUCAAGCCACGAUAUAGUGUAGAGGUUUAGAGUACAGGCUCGGGAACGAGAUGCAGAUGCCGGCCUCCUGUGUCAGAUUCCCAGCUCUGUUAGUCAUUGGCUCUGUGACCUUAGGCAAGUUACCUAGCAACUCUGUGCCUCACCUGUAAAAUGGGGAUAAUCAUAAUACCUACUUCCUCAUAUAAUGAUGAUUAAAUUAGUUGAUAUACAUAAAGUGCUUAGAACAGUACCUGGCAAAUAAAUGUAGCUAUUUGCUGUUAUUUGUUGUCAUCCUUGGCCCUUCCUUUUUUCCCUUUAACCAGACACACCUCCUUACCCCCUGAGCACCAUCACCAGCACAUUCUUCGAUGUGUCCCUUUGCACUCGUGGUUCUCUCGCCCUUGGGUGGACUCUGUCCUCCCCAUGCCUUCCUCCAGCUAACAUCACACAACUUCUAGAAAGUCUUCCCCAGGCAUCCAGACCCAGGGCUACACCUGCGUAGGGAGGCCUGGAGCAUCUUGGCCAGGCAGCUCACCUGACUACCUGCUGCUUUUCCACUCUUCGAUUGUAGGAAACACUCAUGUGCAGGGUCUUCUCCCAGGACCACUGUGCAUGGUGUGGGGCGGGGGGCGCAUUGCACUCUACACAAAGGUCAGGAGAUGAAUGGGGCUAAACUCUAGCCUACGUUCUGCUUGCCCAGCCCUGGCACCAUGCUACAUCAGCCUGAAGGAAGCAGGGCAGCCUCUGUAAACUGGCUGCCCAGGGCCCCUUUUCUAAUCCACACAAAGGAACCAGGUGUGCCAGCCCUCCCCUGCCUCCUGCUUCCCUGCCUGGAUUGUAAGCCCUCGGUGGGCCAGAUGCUUUUCCCUCAGUGCCCAUGUGGGACCACGUACCAUCUGAGGUGCUCACAAGUGGACCUUGGAAGUGGUUAGAUGAUGAAUUCAUGACAUCCAGGUUCCCCACAAGCUGACACAUCUUCCUGGGGGAACUUGGAGCCAAAGGCCCAAGUUCAUUGGCCCUGGAUGGCUGUGGAGUGGGACCUGGCCUGGGCUGGGGAGAUGGCUCCAGUGAGGCCACGGUGCUGGGAGCCACAGAGUUCAAUGUUCAAUGUGAUGACUAUCUGGGGGGCGGCAGCUGUCUGCCCAGCGCUGUGAUGACUCCAUGAAGGAUAUAAAGAGGGUAAGGGGCUUCCCUGGUGGCGCAGUGGUUGAGAGUCCGCCUGCCGAUGCACAAGACAUGGGUUCGUGCCCCGGUCCGGGAAGAUUCCACAUGCCGCGGAGUGUCUGGGCCCGUGAGCCAUGGCCGCUGAGCCUGCGCGUCCGGAGCCUGUGCUCCGCAACGCGAGAGGCCACAGCAGUGAGAGGCCCGCGUACCGCAAAAAAAAAAAAAAAAAAAAAGAGGGUAAGAUCCAGUCCCCUCCUUUCCCCUCUCGGGGUCGGUAUCCCUGGCCAUGCUGCAGCCCUUUGGGUGGUCUUGCUGGGCCCAGAAGGAGGCAGAGGAGCUCCUGGAGGGGCCCUUCCUUUACCUCCUUCCUGGCUGGAGGGAGAGGGCGAUUGCUCGGCAGUUUGACACUUGGACAAAAUGAAACUUACGUAGAAAAUGAGGGGCAUUUCCUGGGGCCCUGGGCAGCCCUUCAGGGCACCUCCUCCUCCCCUCUCUGCCCCCUGAGGUGCCCUAGGUGUGAUCCCAGGGCCUGGGCAGCCCACUCCAGCUUCCUGCCCAGCACCCUGGCCCAUCCAGGAGAGAAAAAAGGCAAUGCAGAGUGUCAAGGAGCAAGGGCUUGGCGGCCCGUGAGGCAGGCCGCUCAGUGGCGAAGCGUUCGCAGCUGACCAAGGCAUGAGGGGUCUGAGGGUGGAGGGGCGUGAGGUGGCUCAGAGGGGUCUCUGGACACCUGGGACACUGAGGCAGCACCUACGUAAUGCUGCUCUAGAGGUGGGAGCCAGACCUCAGGCCCGGGCUCGGUGUCCCACAGACGAUGCCCCAGACGUGCACAGCUCCACCAGCCUCCGCCUCUUAUCCGCCUGCAAGGAAGCAGGGUGCUGUGUUCUCUCCCCAGCUACUGGGCGAGCGGAGCAGGGUGCAGUUCUGAGCAGGCGAGGCUCCCUGGGUUCUGCCCCCUCCCCACCCUCAGCCUGGCAGGGGCAUCCCCUGGGGUCUGUGAGCCCGAGCUCCGGACCUCUCAGACCUGGCUGUGGCCACGGAAAAAAGCUAAAGGUGCAGACCUCAGAGCAGGGGGAUAUGACUCACAGGUGGCCGGGGUGGGGGGGGACCUCAGGCAGACCGGUGAGGCCUAAGGGGUCGGGCAAGUGGGCACAGCAGGACCGGCAGCAGGAGAGGUCUUGAGACCUGUAGGGGACGCCAGCUCUCGGCCCUUCCGGGAGGGCAGCAGGGUAUGAGGGUCCCAGUGUUGGGGAUGCCGGAACUGUGUGCCAGGCAGUGGGAAGGGGCUGGGUCCCCCAGGACUGCCCCACUGAGCAUGCCACCCUACUUGUCUCUCAGAUGUCACGGGCCCAGAGCCCCGCCCUGAGCAGGAAUGGCUGCUGCUUCCUUUCUGGUAUGGGGUCGGGGGGUGGGGGGUUAGAGGCGAGGACCCAGGUCCUCGAUCCCAAGGACAAGGUGCUCAGGCCUCUCCAGGGACCACCAUGUCGCCAGGCAACCCUGGCUUUUUAGACAUCCUUCCUCAGGUCAUGCUGAACCCUGCUCCCCUGUGACCUGGGCCUGGGUCCAUGUCUUCCGGAAAUCCAGUCUCUUUCCUGCCACAUCCUCAGGACAGCAAGGAUUAAAAGGGUGCUGAUUCCCCUAGGCCAGGACAGUCAGGGAACCCAAGUGCCUGGGGACAAAGAAUGCAGUGAGGGUAGCCAGGGAAACUUUUAACCACAUAGCCAAGAUAGACUUUCCGGGUUCAAAUCCAGACUCCUCCAUUUUCUAUGCUGUGCUGUCCAAUGCAGUAGCCAUCAGCCACAAAGGGACUAUUUAAAUUUAAUUUAAUGUAAAACUCAGUCACACCAGCUGCAUUUCCAAGUGCUUCAAAGCCACAGUGGCUAGUAGCUAGCAUAUUGGAUGGCACAGACUAUAGAGCAUUUCCAUCACCACAGGAAGUUCUACUGGACAGUGCAAUUCUAGACGAAUGACCUUGGACAAGUCCUUAACCUCUCUGUGCCUCAGUUUCAUUUUCUGAAAAACUGGGGUUAAUAACAGUACCUAGCCCCUUAAGGUGGUUGUGAAGAUUAGAUAACAUAUGCAAAUAGAACAAUUAAUACACAGCACAGAGUUAGUGCUCAAUAAAUGUUCAUUAUUACUGUCUAGGACAAGAGGGGCAGAGUUCAAGUCUUCCCCUCCUUACAGUGACACCUGGGAACCCACCAACCUGGCACCUCUGAUACCCAGAGGCUGGGGAGUGAUGGCUGCUGUCUUAGCUCAGCCUGGGCCAUACCUGCUCAGGCCCCCAAACUAUGCAUCACGUAGAAUCAGCAGGCUCCUUGCUUUGUGCCAAGGCCAUGGUGUCCCCUCCUCUUCACCCACCAAGGCUGGGUGCCCCCUUGUUCCCUGCCGGGGCAGGGCAGGUUUGCAGCGGGGGCUAGAGCGUGAUGUCUGGAAACACUACCUUGGGUCCCUGGGGAUUAGGCACAAGGGCCACCUGACUGUGGGCUUGAGGCCUGGACAGCGAGGAGGAGAGAAGGAGCAGAGCUCUGCGAGGGCUUCCCCCUGCCUCUCCAGGACCCAGAUUCUCAGGGGAGACUGAGCCACUUGGGAGGCGCCAAGGUGUGUUCAAUUGUAACGAGCUGGGCCUGCAGUUACAGGAAGGCCCGGAGCAGGGAUAGAGUUCAAGGAGCGCCCUCCUGUCUUGGUGCUCUCUCCCUGUCCCCUCCUACCUCUCUGACAUCUCCACAACCUCUUUCUUGGUCUGCCCCUCAAGCCUUGCUGCUCCCCAGACCCCCUCCUCUGCCCUUAUUUAUUCUCUCUUUGCUCCUGUAUUUCUCAAAGUGUUUCCAUGUCAGAGCAUCUGGCAGUCAUAAGGGAUACCAUGAGCUAUCAAUGUAAUUAAUUCCAUAAUUAGAACUGGGAACAGUUUUACUAGCAGAAACUAUGAUGAUCAUCUGUGUGUGCAAAAUAAAAACCCGCUAUAGGCACACGCACAUAGCCAUGUAGACAGCAAGCUGUCGAGUGAAGUGUGAUGGGCUGUUGCCACGUUUUCCCGUCAGUAUUCCUUUUUGGCUUGUCAGUUGCUUUAUCGCAUGCUAGCAGGCAAGCGGUAGCAGGCACCAAAGGUUGGAGACAAAUUUAUGGGAGCAAAGCCCAACACGGGGACCAGUCUCUUCAUUAACACAUUUCCCUUUUUGAAACAGGCAAGUGUAAGCAGAGUCCAGCAGUGGAACUCUGAGUCGUGGUUUGUUAUGAAUACUCUCCCCGAGUAAUAUGGUCCCUGCAGCCCCACCUCUCCACCAGGACUCCCUUGACUGUGUCUGCAGUCUGUGUCUGCAGCCUCUCUCCUGAGUGCUGCCUCCUGGGUAUUUCCAUCUGCUUCUGAGAUCCAUCCUGAGGCACCCGCACUCACCAUGUCCCAAACUGAGUCACUUCUUGGAUCACUCCUUGAGAUCUUGGAAUGUCCUCCACCCAUUUGUCUAAGCCACAGCUGGGAACUCUCUAUGUGUUAAAUAUCCCCUGAAUCCCGAUCCUCUUCUUGGUCCCAUCCUUGGUCCCUGCUAGCCUAGAGCCCAGCCAAAGCCUUCCAGCUGGCCUCCAGCCCUCCCCUCUCUGGUCUAUCCACCACCAGGUAAUCUUUCAUCAAAGUAAUAAACAUUUGAAAAGGCCCAUCCCAUCAUGUCCUAGACCUGCUUGAAGACCACCUGCACCUCAAGGCUAAUGUAUGGCUCCCGCUGUACCUCCACACAUGUGCUGGGAUGCUGGUUCCUUUGCUCAGUCUCCACUGGAGCAGAGAGGGCAAGAGAGUCUUUGCCACCCUUGGACCUGGAUACCUGGCACGUGGCAGGCAUUCAGUAAGUGCUUCUUGAAUGCAUGAAAGAGGGUGGGCUUCUCCAAAAUCUCUAGGGAUUCCCCCUUACCCAUUCAGUACAGCCCAGACACCUCCCUGAUAUUUCAAGCCCUCCACGAUAUGGACCCGAACCUAUUCUUCUUUAAUCCCUCGCAGCCUCAGUGAAAUGGCGAUAGAGAAAUGACAAAUGGUAGGGUGGCUUGAGGAUGAACUUACCUGGUUUGGUAACCUGGCUUCUGCACUUAGGAGUUCUGCGACCUUCAGCAAGGUAUAGAACCUCCCUACCCUCUGUUUUCUUGACUGUGAAAUGGGGGAUAAUGAGUAUCUAACUCUUAGGGUUAUGGAGAGGAUUUCAUGAGAUAAUGCAUGUGACAUGCAUUGUUGGCAUGCAGCCCGGCACAGCACAAGCAUUCAUUAAAUUGUAGCACCAGUUUCUUCCCCAUGCAUCCACUUCCCACUCCCCCCCCAACACACACACACACACACACACACACACACACACACACAGGAAACCACUUAUUAAUUCUCAGGGUAUCCUUCCAAGGUUGCUUUAUGAAUAUGCAAAUAAAUUCAUGCUUAUUUUCUCUAUUUUUACACAAAAGUUUACAUGCCCCACACCAGGAGUCAGCAAACUUCUUCCACAAAAAGCCAGAUAGUAAAUAUUUUAGGCUUUGUACAACAUAUGGUGUCUGCAACUACUCAGCUCUGCCACUGUAGAGCAAAAGCAGUUUUAGACAAUGAGUGUGACUGUGUUCCAGUUAAACUGUAUUUAUGGAAACAAAUUUGAAUUUCAUAUCGCUUUCUCAUGUCAUGAAAUAUUAUUCUUCGUUUGAUUUUUUCCAACCAUUAAAAAGUAUAAAAAACCAUUGUUAGGUCACAGUCUGUACAAAAACAGUCGGUGGGCCAGAUUUGGGCUGUUUUUUCACUUUUCUAUAUAUCUUGGAGAGCUUUUCUGUGGAUGUAAAAGGGCUGCAUCUUUCUGUUUUGAGGGCAUAGGACUCCAUCCCGUGGAUGUCUCUUAGUUUGUUUAACCAAUCCCCUACUAAGGGACACUUAAAUUGUUUCUAUUCUUUACAAAAUAUUUUGCUAUUACAAAACAGUGCUACUAUGAAUAAUAUUGUUCAUCCAUCAUUGUGGACGUUUACAAGUGUCUUAGGUCAGUUCCCCCUAGAGGCGGAGCUGGGACGUGAAUUCAGAUGUGUGUGUGAUUUACUCGGGGAGGGCUAAGGGCGGGAGGAAGGCAGAAUGGAAAGGCGGAAAGAGCCAAGCAAGGAUUGGUCCCGGGAAAAUCAAGCCAAAGCCUAACAGAGGGCGGAGCUUGGACAGCUGUCCCACCUUGAAGCAAGGAGGCGGGGCUUUUAAACUUCCGGUUCAGUCAGUCAUUGGCUUCGUGGUCAUGAUGGUGGGAGGAGCUUGUCAGGUGGUUGUCUUCUGUCCGGAGCACAGCUCAGGGGAAGCCAGUGUGGGGUGCACCGGCCGCAAAGGGGACUGGGCAGGGCGGCAGCAGUGCCUACCACAGCAGGUGUAUCUGCAGCACAGCCUCGGAGGUGGACCUGAAGGGGCAAAGCAUUGAUGCAUUGCGGUGUGGAUGGACAUUGCCAAAUUGCUCUCCAAAUGGGCUGUGUCGACUUACAUUCCUACCAGCAACAUCUGAGUAUCUGUUUCUGCACAAUCUCACCAAAUUAGUCUAUUAUUAAACUUUUGGAUUUUUUGCUAAUCUGAUGGACUGAAAAAUGCUAUCUCAAAGUAGUUUUCAUUUGCACAUCCCUUAGAAUGAGAAAAGUUGAGCCUACUUUCAUGUGUUUAAGAAACAUUUGGGGCGGUGGGAGCACAUCCGCUCGCCACCUGGGGACCCGCGCCGCGCUCCCCGACCCCGCCCGCCCGACGCCCAUUCCCCCGCCCUCCGCUCGCCCGGGUUAUAAUUGCCUCUCACCACCCGUUGGGGUUAUUUUGGGGGUGGUUGCAGGUGGCGGCGGAGGCGAGGAGGGGAAUUGUGUCUCCUUUCCCGGGACGGGGGAGCGGCGUCGGAGGCCACGGUUUCCAGGGUCCCUACCUAUGGGAGGAGUACUUCCUUCUUUCCAUUGACAUCAAGCUUGGCCAUGGGACUUGACCAAAGUCAAUGGAAGAUGAGAAGUGAUAUAGGUCAUGUCUAAGAAGAAGCUUUGGAAGCCAAUGCAUGAAUUUAUUUUGCUCAUUUUCCUCUGCCACAGGAAAAACAGGUGCCAGAUAAAGGCUUUUUCUUUUGCCAGGAUUCCAGAAUGAAGAUACCUGUAACCAACCCAAAGUCAACAUAACAAAAAUGAGAAAUAUAUUUUUGUUCUAGUAAAACAGUAGUUCUCAAAGUGCUAUCUGUUAGCCCAAGACCCUUUAAGGGUUAGAACUAUUUUAAUAAUAAUACUAAGUUCCUUUUUCAUUGUGUUGACAAUUGCACUAUGGUUCAUAAGCCGUGGUGGGGAAAACGGCUGGUGCCUUAGGAAAAGUCAGUGCAGUUCCUUCAAACUGUGCUCUUUGUCACCAUAUAUUUAUAGUAAACAAAAAAAAUUAUACUUGAGAAGGUACUUGAUGAAGCAAUGAAAUAUUAAUUUUUAAAAAUCUUGAUCUUGCAAAAAAAAGAAACAUUUGGGUUUUUUUUUCUGUGAACAGUUCUUAUUCCUUUGCUGACUUUUCUUCUAGGGAUAUUGGUUUGGUCUGUCUUUUCUGUUUCUAGGAGCUCUUUAAAUAUUAUGGAGAUUGGUUCUUUAUCGUGAUAUGAAUUGCACAUAUUUUUCCCAUUUUGUCUUUUGUCUUUUUACUUUGUUUAAAGUCAUUUUGGCCAAGCAGAGGUUUUUGAUCAUAGGGUUGGUUGUUUGGACAAGUAAAUGAUAUGUUAUGUAAAACACCUAGAAUGAUGUCCACUACUUGGUAGGCACUGAAUGGAUGUUAUUUUCCUUCCCUCCCUUCCCUUCCAUUCUAUGCUUUAUCCAACUGUGCUCAUUAUCCUUCCUUAAAUAUGGCCCAUGUUUCCCACCUUCACGUGUUUUCUUAUGUUACUUUUCUUAUCUGGAAUGUCUUCCCCCUCAUUUUGGACUGUGAAAUUCCUACCCUUCUCUUAAGCCCCAGCUCAAAUGUCAUGGUCCUGCUUACAUCUGAACUCCUGUACCUCUGUUAGCCAUCAGAGUCCACCUUGGAUCCUAGUAAUAUACACACAUUUAUCAUGCUUUUCCUGAGCCUCAAUUUCCUUACCUAUAAAUUGGAGUUGCUGGGGAAAAUAGAGAUUUAUUUUUAUUACAACAUAAUGCGUGUUUACUGUAAAACUGUAAAAAAAAUUUUUUUACUGAAAAAAAUCUAAAAAUAUGAAAACAUAAAGUUUAAAACAGUAGUAACACAUACAUAGGCAUUCUCAUCCCCAAGGGGCAGCCACUGUUUACAGAUCCUUCCAGACCUUUCCUAUGCCUAUAUAAAUAUCUGUAGGGAAGAGAGAGAGGUUUUUCUUCAAACAAAAACCUGGAAGUAUUACUGUCCAUAUUAUUCUGCAACUUACUUUUUUCAUUCAAUAAAAUAACAUGAAUAAGAUGAUGCAUUUAAAAAAAAAAAGAUGAUGCAUUUAAAGUACAUCCUUCAGUGCUCUGUCCAUGGGAGCUGUAAUUAUUCUAUGCACCUUGCAGUGAUGUUUUUAAACUUUCUUUUGGCAGCAGAACACUUAGCAAAUGAAAUAGUAUGUGGAAAACCCAGUUAUCAAUUAGAUAGAGUGGAGCCACCAGGCUAAGGUGAAAGUGGGUGGGAAGGAGGGCACGGAGCCCCUCACCCACUCGUCUCCCCAUCACUGUUUGAGAACCUUAGUGAGUUGCGCAGAAUAUGGGGGCAACAUGUUCAGCUGAGUGGCAUUAUCAUGGGUAUGCACUGUCCAGGGAGUUUCCACUCAGGUCUGAAGAUCCCAGCCAGCUGGGAUGGAAGGUUUUUUCCCAAGUUAGUUGAAAGAGCCAGAGAGUCCUCAGACCAGAGCACAUCUUGGUGGAUCAUACCCAGUGGCUCCUCCUUGGCUCCAUGACGGUCUGUGAUGAGAGUUUUCGUUGGUCCAUGAAGAAAUGAAAAAAAUAAAGCCAAUGAGGUGAGAUUUCCACGAAGUUAAGCUUAUUCAAAUAGUUCUUAUUGGCAUUGAAAUGUCUUUUCUUUCAUAAAAUUAUGGUGGUAAUAAUUGGGAGGUGUGUGUGUGUGUUUGGCAACUUUGGUCCCCUACAUUUGUUUCAAAAUUUUACUGAUCCAUGAAAUCCUGAAGUCUAGAGAGAUGGAUGUUCCAGUCAAUUGUGGCAGCUCUGCCAGGACCUCCUUGGAACAAUCCCAGAGAGAUAAUCUUGGGCCAGGCGAAUCUGAGAACAUUUAUGCUAUCCUUUAACGAAAUCAAAGCAGUUUUUCCAAAGCUGAGAGUGGACAGAGCCCCGCUCCGGGGACUUUAGUCAAAGGAAGUCACCUUCCCAGUGCAGCUCUCACUUGCCUCUGUUGCUACCACUCUCUAGGAGCCAGAGCUGAGCUGAGGACCUGAAGCCCUUCACACAUGGGGUGGGGGGCCCUCCCUCCCUGUCCACCUCCAAGGACUGGUCUGGGCUUUAUGAAGGGAGAUAGCUGACUCUUUAGAGGGGUGUUUUCAGUGUAAGACAUAGGACCUAUCAAAGAAUCAAGACUUCCUUCUUUACUUGGCUGUGAGCCUCUCAGAAGGUAGGACUUCUUGAUUUGUAUUGUUUAACCCGAAAUCCCCAUCACAGCAGUAGAUGACAAUGGAUUGAGCUCAGAAGGCUGUGGUUGUUAAAAAUGUAUUGACACAAGAUUAGUCCCUUGGCCUUUUAUAUGUAAGGAUGCUUGGGCAGUAUAACAAGAUAUUUGAGGUGUCUUUUAUUCCUCUUAGAUGAAGAAGAAUUUUUAGUGGCUUGGGGAGGGGUAUUUUGUCUGAACUAUAGCUAGCACUUCCUUUUCUUUGUUCAUGUGAUUUUAAAAUUCUGGUAUAGUUUUCAACUUGUGACCACUUAUUUAUAUUUUCAAAAUAAUCACAUGGUGUCACUGUUCCCCUUGGUCCUCACCACAGCCCGGUGAAGUGGGUGUCACUAUUCCUGUUUUACUGAUUAGGAAUCUGAGUUUCAGGGGAUCUCAGUGACUGGUCAAGUAGGAGGCAGAACUGACAUCUGCCUGGCCCAACUCCUGUCCUCUCUUCUCUGUACAGACAGGUCCUUUCUACAACUAGGGAAGACAUUUUUUUCUUCUCUGCAAAGUUAAACCUUUGGCCCUUAAGGGAUUUGAACUCAGGAAUCUUGGGGCCAUUAGCAUUGAGUUCCAACUAGAGAAACAAGUGAUGGCAACAGUAACAACAGUGACAGCAAACGACCAAGAAAGAACCCUUUGAGUUUCCACCUUGACCAGACUGGAGAGCUCUUUGUCAGCAUCAAGUUCAGAAAUGUCCCAGGUGGUCCGGGCAGAACCUGAACUACUCCCUUUAGCUCCCUGGGUGCUCUGUGAUGCUGACACUAAGCUGAGCCAUGGCACUGGCUUGGUAGCACCAGGAGGAGACUUCUACCGACCCACCAGCUCACUUACCUCUCACUCUUUGGUGAACUCUUGGAAGCCAUUGGAAGGAUUGUGUUUUCUGCUGCAGCUGGCUGUGUUGACCUUCUCCUCGGAGUUAGGAGCAGGUGCCUGAGGGUGGAGUCCCCAAAUCUGGUUCAUUACAGCUCCCAGAGCUUCUGGGGUGGCUAACGGGCCCUCUCUCUCACUCCAGCCCUCAAACUCGGGGAGCAGGCUGGGGCAUGUGUGGGGCUGUCAGGUUGAGUAUUUGCUGCUGGUCGCACUGGAAGAAGCGCAGUGGUGAAGCUCACGGGAGCCAAGUCCCAGGCCAACAGGGCUGGGGAAGGGCUGGAAGGUGCCCAACUCUGACACCUGUGCUGCUCUGGCUUCUGCCAGGAAGGAAUGAGAGGGAGAUUGCUCAUGGCCUGGACACCCGGGGCCAACAGGAGUAGGGACGAUGGAGGGAGAGGGUCCCAGGACCCACUUGGGCAAAGAAUCCAGUGGAGAGGCUAGGGGUGGAACCUACGGGAGGAAAGAGCACCACCCCAGGCCUGAGCAGAGGCUUCUAGGCUGAGUUUCUGUCAUGGUCUGGGCUGCUCUGUUGGGUGGCACAAGAGUCAAGCUCUGCUGGAUUGGAGUCCUGGGGCCUGAUUUACCUGUUGUAUAACCUUGGGCAAGUAAUUACUCUCUCAGCUUCAGUGUCUACAAUGUGCUCACACCCACCAUAGUCCAGACCCUGUCAUGUAUACAGUGGUUCACAUACAUUUUGACAGUGACAGAGUAUUUACAACAAGGCUGCCUUGUAGAAUGACCUGCCUUAUAAUAAACACAUAAAGAACCGUUCAAGUUUAUGAGCAAACAACUCAAAUAGUUAAGAUAUCAAAGGACAUGAGCAGAAAAUUUUCACAAGUGGUAAAUAGAUGUAUGAAAAAAAUUCAACCUCAG